UACGUAGGGGGCGAGCGUUGUCCGGAAUUAUUGGGCGUAAAGCGCGCGCAGGCGGUCCUUUAAGUCUGAUGUGAAAGCCCACGGCUCAACCGUGGAGGGUCAUUGGAAACUGGGGGACUUGAGUGCAGAAGAGGAAAGCGGAAUUCCACGUGUAGCGGUGAAAUGCGUAGAGAUGUGGAGGAACACCAGUGGCGAAGGCGGCUUUCUGGUCUGUAACUGACGCUGAGGCGCGAAAGCGUGGGGAGCAAACAGG
rnacentral:rRNA from 1 species